rnacentral:rRNA from 1 species
GUGGAUUAGAUACCCCAGUAGUCCACGCCCUAAACGAUGUCUACUAGUUGUCGGGACUUAAUUGUCUUGGUAACGCAGCUAACGCGUGAAGUAGACCGCCUGGGGAGUACGGUCGCAAGAUUAAAACUCAAAGGAAUUGACGGGGACCCGCACAAGCGGUGGAUGAUGUGGAUUAAUUCGAUGCAACGCGAAAAACCUUACCUACCCUUGACAUGGUUGGAAUCCCGAAGAGAUUUGGGAGUGCUCGCAAGAGAACCAAUACACAGGUGCUGCACGGUCGUCGCCAGCU